UUCGAAUCGGUUAUACCAAUGGCGGGUUAAUAAUUUCAACUAUUUAAAUCAUUUUUGUUAAUUUCCAAGUGAAAAGUUAUCUGGAGCCUGGAGUAUGGAAACAUAUGUGUAACUCAACACCUCAUGGAAUUUGGAUAAGAAUCAACCCGCCAUUUGGGAGAAACCAUAAGAUGAAGUCAUAGCCCCUUCUUUGACCACCUAGGGAAACCACCACAGCCACAGUCAAGUCAACAUUGGGAGUAAGUCAUUUUUGGGAACAAGCUUUUUGGGAGUAUUCCAGCUCCUUUUCUUCCUGCCACCUGGGCCUACGGAGGGCAUGGGACCGCAUCAUCUUGAUGCUCAUUUCUGAGGAUGCAGCAGCAACCUCUUUAGGAGUCGUUUGGGAACAUUUAGUGUUGUGUUUUAAGUAACUAUGGUUUUUAUAUAUCAGACAUUUAUUUGAUACAUUAUGUUUAUUAAUUAUUUUUUUCAGAUUUAGCGUACCUUUGUUUUUAUAUGACAUAUUUGUAUACUAUGGUAUUUGGUUCCCAAACUUUGUAUCUACGGUAACUUCUUGUGCACAGGAAUAAGCCUAGAGAAAAUUAGGUUUUUAAUACUUUAUUAUUGCUUUGAUAUUGGUUUAUGUAAUUCGGGUAAAUUUAUUUUUUAAUAUUACUAGCUUGUUUCCCAAAUAUUUUACUGUUAUUCGCUUUAUUCCAUUUGUUCGGUUAAUUUAGGUCAUCGUCGGUAUUUAUCUCAACUUCAUUUCUACUUUAGUCAAUUGUAUAUUUAACUUUAUUUAUUCAUUAUUGUAUUUUCCCUUAGUGAGGCUUGGGCCUAUUUAUUUGUAGUAUUUUCAUCUUUGUCAGUUUCCUUUAGUUGUACGUAGCAGGCGUACUAUAACCAUUUGGUAGAAGACUUAUGUAAUUUUGUACCCUAUAUGUUAGUGAGAGGUACUUAUACCUGUAAUUUUGUAACAGAUAACAUUAUUGUUGUUAUCUUAGAGAUAACUUUUUGUAUAACUUAUGUCAUUUUAGAGUCACAUGAUAUACACUUUGUGUAACUCAGAGAUUGUCAAAAAUCUAGUAGUUAUUUUUAAUAAAUAUGUAUUUAUUUUGUA